CAGUAGCCGCGGGAAAACGUAGGUGGCAAGCGUUGUCCGGAAUUAUUGGGCGUAAAGGGCUCGCAGGCGGUUUCUUAAGUCUGAUGUGAAAGCCCCCGGCCCAACCGGGGAGGGUCAUUGGAAACUGGGAAACUUGAGUGCAGAAGAGGAGAGUGGAAUUCCACGUGUAGCGGUGAAAUGCGUAGAGAUGUGGAGGAACACCAGUGGCGAAGGCGACCCUCUGGUCUGUAACUGACGCUGAGGAGCGAAAGCGUGGGGAGCGAACAGGAUUAGAUACCCGUGUAGUCCCUGUCUCUUAUAC
rnacentral:rRNA from 1 species